rnacentral:rRNA from 1 species
CCUACGGGAGGCUGCAGUGGGGAAUAUUGGGCAAUGGAGGCAACUCUGACCCAGCAACGCCGCGUGAAUGAUGAAGGUCUUCGGAUUGUAAAGUUCUUUUCUAAGGGAAGAAGAAAGUGACGGUACCUUAGGAAUAAGCCUCGGCUAACUACGUGCCAGCAGCCGCGGUAAUACGUAGGAGGCAAGCGUUAUCCGGAAUGACUGGGCGUAAAGGGUGCGUAGGUGGGUUGACAAGUUAGUAGCGCAACUCCGGAGCUCAACUUCGGAACUACUACUAAAACUGUUGGACUUGAGUGCAGGAGGGGCAAUCGGAAUUCCUGGUGUAGCGGUGGAAUGCGUAGAGAUUACGCAGAACUCCGAUUGCGAAGGCAGCAUACCGGCGCUCAACUGACGCUCAUGCACGAAAGCGUGGGUAGCGAACAGGAUUAGAUACCCUAGUAGUC